ACGAACGCUGGCGGCGUGCUUAACACAUGCAAGUCGUACGGUAAGGCCCUUUCGGGGGUACCCGAGUGGCGAACGGGUGAGUAACACGUGAGUAACCUGCCCCCAACCUUGGGAUAACGCUAGGAAACUGGUGCUAAUACUGGAUAUGUGCUCCUGCUGCAUGGUGGGGGGUGGAAAGCUCCGGCGGUUGUGGGUGGGCUCGCGGCCUAUCAGCUUGUUGGGGGGGUCGUGGCCUACCAAGGCGGGGACGGGUAGCCGGCCUGGGGGGGUGAGCGGCCGCAUAGGGACCGAGGGACGGCCCAGACUCCUACGGGAGGCAGCAGGGGGGAAUCUUGAACAAGGGGCGCAAGCCUGAUGCAGAAACGCCUCGGGCGGGAUGACGGCCUUAGGGUUGUAAACCGAUUUCAGCAGGGACGAAGCUUUUUGUGACGGUACCUGCAGAAGAAGCACCGGCUAACUACGUG
rnacentral:rRNA from 1 species